GCCGGGCAUGGUGGUGUGUGCCUGUAGUCCCAGCUACUCGGGAGGCUGAGGUGGGAGGAUAGCCUGAGCCAAGGAGUUCUGGACUGUAGUGCACUAUGCCAAUUGGGUGUCCAUACUACGUUCGGCAUCAAUAUGGUUACUUCCCAGGAGCGGGGAACCACCAGGUUGCCUAGGGAGGGAUGAACUGGCUCAGGUUGUUAACAGAGCAGGUCAAAACUCCCAGGCUGAUCAGUAGUGGGAUCGCGCCUGUGAAGAGCCACUGCACUCCAGCCUGGGCAACAUAGUGAGACCCAGUCUCUA
ensembl:misc_RNA Metazoa_SRP Metazoan signal recognition particle RNA